GGGGAGGCCGGGGGCAGAGAGGCGGUGGUGGGCAGGGGGAGGACGCUGCGCUCCAGUGCAGCAGGAAGCUGUGCUGGCAGCACCCAGCUGAGUGGGGAAAAGGGCCCUCAGCGCUCUGCUUCACUGGAGGAUGAAGUGCUAUCACAGCUACCUGCUCGCCUGCCUUCUCCUAAACUGUCAGAUUUCCAUGUCCUUCCAAAGACUUGCUGCAAUCCAGACAAGAUGACUGCAUUUCAGUGCUGACUGGAGCCUUUGCAGUGCAGCCUAUAAAACACUUUGGGAGCUUUCCAGAAGGAAGAUGGUUGAGAAACAUCAGCAGUAGCAGUCCAUACACCUUCCCUGACACUGUCCUUUGUGACCCUUUCCCAGUCCUCUCUUCUCCCUCCUCCCGUCCCUAUGCAACCAUUUCCAGAACUGGAGAGUGGUGCUACCAGGCAGGGAAGGAGUGUCUUUCCAAAAUGAGAUUUGCCUCAAUUUCCAUUAGCAACGGAAAAGAGAAGGGGAAAAAAAAAACGUCCAAAUUAAGCUGCUUGAUUACUGAAAUUAAUCUUGUCACUUAGCAUCCCUAUUCCACGGAACAGGGCCUUUGAUUAGCCUCCUUGUUUCAGAAUAUUACAAGCAGACGUUUAUUAAGCAGAAGACAAUUUCUCCGCAGGGGGAGAGGGGCAGCUGAUUCCCAAGGGAAGGCAGCUCCUGGGGUAAGACACAGCCCUGGCUAUGAUCGCAUCACUGGCACGCAGGGGGUGCUACUCUGACAAUGCAACCAGGAGCCCCCAAGGAUCCUCCAAAAUCCUCCCCCCAACAUAUGACUAAGGCCCAUCCUGUUGUUACAGCCAUAGGCUUGGUAUUUAUAAGGCUGGCAGCUCUUGCAGCAAGUUAUCGCUUACUAUUACCAUCACCCUGACAGCCCUCCAAGGCUGUGAGGUGCUGUGCCUCCCCUGCCUGGCAUGCUUUGAGCACUAAGGGAAUGCAGCCAGGCUGGGAGCACUCCCCUGGGCAACAAGCAGAUCAGGGGACUCACGUGUGGGGCUUCCAGCACUGCAUUUCCCUCCCUGCUUCCUCCCCAGUACCAUGCAGCAUCUCAAACCAUGGGGUUAUGACUUUGCACAUCCAUGCUGUCAUAGGCUGCUGUGAGCAUUUCAGUUCCAUAGGAGGUACACACGCAAAAACCACUGCCUCAGUGCAGGCAUACGCUGUGCUUCUGACCCAUCACAGUAUGCCAUAAUUGCCUGAGUGGCUGAAGGAAGAGCUCAUAGAGGGCAGCAGGAUGCCACCAGCAUGCUUCCAGGAUCCUGCCCUUCUCUAGGAGGUACCAGCCAGGAGUUCCUGGUGCCGCUGAUACAGAAAUGGAACAAGAUAGGAUAGGAGUUUAUAUCCUAUGUCCUUUUCUGACUGAACGCCCCAGACAAAAGAUACGUGGACACGGUAACAUGUUCACCACCAUCCCAGGCAAAUCACAGGCAAAUUUUAAGUAAGCUAAACUGAUGACCAGAUUUCAGUGCUGUCAUCCAGCAUUGAAAGGUUGUAAAAUCAAAGAUCAACUCUUUUUGCUGUUUUCCUUCUCCCAGCUAUGCAAGGGAUGUUUUUGUAUUUCAGACCUCAUGCACAGCACUGAUAUUAUAAAAUGGCUACAUUCCAGUCUGUGUGCUACAGCACCACAGUGUCAGUGCUUCGUCCUCCAGGAGAGAUAGAGUAGAGGAAACCAUGAGAGUAAGGCCUUUAUAUGCUUAAAGUACAACUGUUUACAGACUGUUGUUCUGGAAACUGGCAAAAUUUGGCAGUUUUCAAACCACUUUCAUCAAAGUGCCUCCAACUACUUUACAAACACUAACCAACUAAGUUUCACAGUAAGCCAAAUCCUCCAAGUGCUUGUUUGCACUCACCAGUGAGGCCAAACUUGUUUGUCCCCUGGGGAAGUAAAUACAUAUCAUAAUCAUUUCUGUUCUACAGACAUGCAAACUGAGGCAUUGGGAAACCAAGUGGUUCAGAGAUGAGCCAAGAGCAGAAGGGAUCUUUUCUUGCUUUGGUUUUUCAGCAGCCCUCUGCAUCCCCACUCUUUGUGAUGCAGCCUCUCAGCUCCCAAGCUGCAUUUAGUAGCACAGAUAUAACAGCAGAUCAAAAAUCCUAGAGCUGACCAAACUUCUUUGAACCUCCAAAACUAUUCUGAGGGGCACAGCUGGAGGCUGGGACACAGGUGUGCAACAAGCUCCAAUUUUAUCUAAGCUGAUUUUGGCCUGCUCAAAUUUUCCUCCCCCACGGUGGUGGGCAGAGCGUAUGGGCUGAUGGAGAAACAGCACUCUGAUGAGGCACCUACAGGUUUGCUGAGGUUUUGUUUGCGGGUUUGCUACUUCUUGGGUACCAGGGCUGUGUGAAGCAUUGAAAUUCCACCCUGAGCAGCAGUGAGCGGCAGAACCUGGUUUCCAUAGCACUGCCAUGGAAACCGCGCUCUGCGAAUCUGUGCCUCCAGGCCCCUCUGCGGCUGAAGCAUCUCUUGCUCAUCCCCUGCACCCUCCUCCACAUUGCAAGCCCCCAGACCUCACUGCAUGCUUCAAAUAAUUAUAGGGUGUAGUGCAAAGGAAAAGCGGACCCUAUUUGGUUCUAUCCUGGAACACUGUAUGUAAAACUGUGCUUGGAAGAAAAAUACUAACAGCAUACUUGCUUCCCCCCUUUCCAUACACAGAAGUAGAGAAACCUGCAGUUAAAAUUCCUCAACUCACAUUCACACAAGUCAAAUCUUGCCUGGUGAUAUAUUAUGGUGGAAACCCAAUAUUCUCAUGCAAUGUGUCCUUUUACCUGCCUUUGCCUUUGUGGAACACUGGCUUCAAAAAAGAAAGAAUUAACUAUUGGAAUGUGGAAAAA